CAUUGCUCUUUACUAUUAAUGCUAUCGAGAAACAAAUGAGAAGUCCUCCCGGGCGUAGACUUCCAAAACCAGCCCUAGAACCCAUGCGUCAAUUUGCCUUUGUUUCCUAUCUUCAGGCAGUCUUACAGAGUCGGAUUCAAUCGGCUAUGGAAGCUCUUAUUGAUAAGAAGGCACUUCUUGAUACUAGCAGUUUUAGUCCUCAGAUUCUGCAGAGUCUUCAGAAACUGCAGGAAGACUCAGUGACAUGAUUUCCAAGAGGAUUCCCCCCGAACGCGUCAACUUUUUCAAACGGCUCUUCAAUCGGAUAAUGAUCCAGGCCAUCCAGAAAGCUAUUGAUGACUUCUCCCGUAGCCCUACCCCCACUAGCUCUUCUACCGCGGCGCGGUGGGUCUUGCUACCGGUCUCCUUGCUGUCCUUGCCUUUUAAAAUUUGCUUCAAGUAAAUAGCAUACAUGAGGAGAAAUUGCCAAUGUACAUGUAAUAGUCAAGAUACUGAUAGUAUACUCUAUGUGAUGAUGCCGGCACGAGAAUAGGAGGAAAGAGCCUACGCGUCGCGUCACGGUCGGGGGAGGCGACGCGACAGUACCUAACCACGCUUCCUGUACGGAGUACCCCAACUUGAGUGAGAAAAUAUUAACAUUACCCGGUAGUAUGUAUGUGCUGAUGAUGAGAAACCUCAGUAAUCCUCAGUCUCCACUUCUUCAUCACGCUCGCGGAUCAAGAUAAAUA
rnacentral:lncRNA from 1 species